rnacentral:misc_RNA from 1 species
UACGGAAGGAGCAAGCGUUGUUCGGAAUCAUUGGGCGUAAAGCGCACGUAGGCGGACUGGAAAGUUGGGGGUGAAAUCCCGGGACUCAACCUCGGAACUGCCUCCAAAACUAUCAGUCUGGAGUUCGAGAGGGGUGAGUGGAAUUCCGAGUGUAAAGGUGAAAUUCGUAGAUAUUCGGAGGAACACCAGUGGCGAAGGCGGCUCACUGGCUCGAUACUGACGCUGAGGUGCGAAAGCGUGGGGAGCAAACAGG